rnacentral:rRNA from 1 species
UUCCAGACUCCUACGGGAGGCAGCAGUGAGGAAUAUUGGUCAAUGGGCGGGAGCCUGAACCAGCCAAGUCGCGUGAGGGAAGACGGUCCUAUGGAUUGUAAACCUCUUUUGUCGGGGAGCAAAAGACGCCACGUGUGGCGUUCCGAGAGUACCCGAAGAAAAAGCAUCGGCUAACUCCGUGCCAGCAGCCGCGGUAAUACGGAGGAUGCGAGCGUUAUCCGGAUUUAUUGGGUUUAAAGGGUGCGUAGGCGGAUUGUUAAGUCAGCGGUAAAAUGUCCGGGCUCAACCCGGGCCGGCCGUUGAAACUGGGGAUCUUGAGUGGGCGAGAAGUAUGCGGAAUGCGUGGUGUAGCGGUGAAAUGCAUAGAUAUCACGCAGAACUCCGAUUGCGAAGGCAGCAUACCGGCGCCCGACUGACGCUGAGGCACGAAAGCGUGGGGAUCGAACAGGAUUAGAUACCCCAGUAC